AACUAUUUGAAAGAAAACUUUUAAAUUGAUUUGAAUUAUAUAUCUUUUAAAUCAACGUAUUAUUAAACAAAAUAACAAAAUAAUGUUUAAUUUCACUGAACAGAGUUAGAUGGUAGGACGGGUUUAGUCGAUAGUAAUACGAGACGAUAUAUUACGGGUAAAGUACAUUAAAUAUAUUUAAUUUCACUGAACAUGAUUAGAUAGUAUGACAGUUUUGGGUCGAUAAUAAUACGAGACGGUAUACUACGGGUGAAAUCCUAGAUAUAACAGUCAAAAUACAAUUAUAUUAUCUUAAACACUAAGCAAAACAAAUAAUAUUAAUAAAACAAAUAUAAUUUAA
rnacentral:sRNA from 1 species